GAGAAAGUCCAGUACUCCGUGGGAAGAGUGGAACACACCAGGAUCCAGCCGCACAGACAGGACACGAAGCAGCCGAUCUCCAUGUACAUCACCACCGCCCUUUGCACCAUGUAACCAGCCACGUCUGAUCCACCUGCAUGAGGGAAAGCCGAUGACAUGGGGAAAAAAAGACAACAAACCACCGACCAGGUGGAGAGCAGAUGCCGUUAUUAGCAGCUGGUCGUUACGUCUCUGGUCUCCUCCAAUGUGUGUGCACUCCACUCCAAAAAAUGUGAGCACUGUGCCAAUCAAGCCGAGGCAAAGGCCGAUCAUCAGGAGCCCCCUAACUGCCUGGAUAUACGCUGGAUAACAGCCAAACACACAUCCGGGCACCCCGAAGUCCACACAGUUCACCAGAGCGGUGGAGUCCUCAAAGCAGUCCUUCCACAGGUCUGACCAGAACCAGGCUGUCACCACCACAGACGAGCCCGCCUGACCCCCCAGCUGGGCCACUCUUCAUGGUCCAUAGCAACGGUGCAGCCCACCAAGCCCCAGCCCAGUACGCAGAGCAGCAGGCCCAGGAUCUGAGCCAGUCUCCUCCUCAUCCCUUCAGUCUGAUGGCUGUCCUUUACUCAUGCAGAGGCCGUGUUCAUCUAGUUGUAAUCCAAAAUCAGAGAGAUGUCGAUGUGGCCUCUUACUCUGCUGCUCCUCUCAGGAAAAAGAGAGGACGACUGGAUCUCAGUUCUCAGGCAUCAGAAACCUGCUCAUCCACAGACUGGUUGAAGAACUGCUGGGUCUCAGGAGGAUCACCAAAGUCAUAAGGAUUUCUCCUCUGAAGACCGUACCUGUGUGUUUGUGCAAGGGACCGGGACGACUGAGAGACGGAGGGCAAGCAAACACAACUUAACUUGAGGGGAAAAAUUUUAUAGUGAUUUCUUUUUGCCAUGGAAACACAAGGAUUACAAAACUGCCUAAUUAAAGUCGCAUAUAUCAGGACUGGCACGCUGUAUUUCCUCUUAUGUCUUAUGAGUUAUUGCCACAUGUCACGCAACACAAAGAGAAGUUUGACCUGUUGUUAAUUUUACCCCCACAGUAUGUUUUUGAAUGUCAUAAGAGAAGAUCUUGAACAUUAAUGAGUCAAAUUUGUGGUAUUUUUAAACUCCUACAAGCACAUUUUCCUUCUUACUUGUGGAUGUUGUUAUAAAAGUAGACUUCAAACAAUGGUUUAGUCAAUACCAUCACAAGGGUUUCUCUUUAUCACAAGGCCAACAUUGUAAAGUGUGAUUGUAAAUGUAACUUACUCCUUACAUUCCUCAAUAAAAUCAAAGUAAAUUUGA